CCAAACCAAAUGGCUCAGAUUGAGCAUGGGGGUCUAAGGGAGCGGUGGUCUAGGCUUUUACCCCACACUCGAUCCAAGCAAGGAUCAAUGUAGGACCCUAACUUGUCUGAAAGCAUUCACCCUAGGUCUCACUGCCAUCAGACUCCAUGUCGAUUGAAUAAAAAAUAAAAAUAAAAAGGAAAUGCACCAAAAAUAGAGGACCAAGGCAAGAAAAUAGAACAAACAAAAGAUCUAAAAGGGGAUACCCUAAAAACAUCUACAAAGGAUGUCAGAAAGGUGCAAG
rnacentral:lncRNA from 1 species